UCUUAUAGGACCCAUCACUGUCUAACAUACCAUAUAACUUAUUUUAUUAUUGCCUCCCUCUGUUAAUUAGACUAUAUGUGUGGAUGAUAUACCUGUUUUAUUUGUUUUUAGCUCUAACUCCACCGAGAAGAGUAAGUCCUUAAUAAAUAAUAAGCCCUUAAUAAAUGUGUGUAGAAGAAAAGGUGAUUGGGGAAAAAAAAUACAUCCUGAAAAUCCAAUCUGUUCACAAGAUGGGAAUGUCCUGGAAAGGAUUAUGGUCAUUUUAAGACUAAAACGAAUGACAGGAUUGGGAGAACAUCACACAAUGAGCAUCUGGUGCCUCUGAGAUUCAGGCUGACCUGUGGAUUAUUACACCUGCCACUGGGCAUCAGGCUGGCUCAGUGGACCUGGUCAAUACACCUGGAAACUUGAGGAUGUUCCACAAUAUCCUUUGAUCUCCUAAGGGCCCACGCUCAUUUCUGUGGGUGCAAGAAGAGAAGAGGCCACGUGUCACACACUGCUGAUCUACCCAUCGGCAGGAAUAAGGGAAGGCAGUUUGGGUAAACGAGGUCAGACUGCUGGAUCAGAGCUCUGCCUGAAUCUGCUGUAUUUUAAGAGACGCCUACCACACAAACACUGGCAUAAUAAAGGAAAAAGAUGGAACUUUCAGUUUUUCUUGCCUUCUCGCUCGAAUGAACAGUGAGUUCAGCAAAAUACAGAUACACAAGGAAAGCAAAGCAAGAGAUAGAGAUAAACCAUAUUUGGGAAUGCACUGAAUCCGUGGGGCUUGUUUUAAUAUAUUAAUGAGCCUAAACAAGAAGAAUUAGGUGUGCUGAGAGUCAAGCCAGGUUUGGAUGAAUCCUGUAAUACUGCAGAAAGAAUAAAACAAACCCAUUUGUGUGUGGGGUGUGUGUGUAUGUGUGUGUGCACUGUGUGUGUGUCUGUGGUGUAUGUGUAUGUGUGGUGUGCCUGUGGGAUGUGUGUGUGUGUGUGUGUGUGUGUGUGUGUGUGAAUGAUUCAUCAUCACUUUACAUAUUUUAGAUGGAAAUGGGGGAGGCUUCCAGACUGACAUUUGUGGAGUCUAAAGGGGUGAAAAACUCUUUCUCUUAAGACGAAGUCAGUGGCUUGAGGGAUCUGGAAGACUGUCCCUGUGACGUCGUGGGAGAGCUGGUCCCCAAACCGAGGCUGUUGACUCUGCACUGAGAUGCUGUUUCACCUAAUUUCAAUCUGAAUAGCAAUCUCCAUGGUUGACACCAGUCAGGUCAAAGCAGUUCUGUUCGCUCCAUUUCUUCAUCAAGACGGACCCCACCCAGCAGAGCUCCUCCUCCCUUUGCUGUGCCCUGGCUCCCUUAGAUGGGAACCUCCCAGGGCGCAGACCAUGUCUUACUCUGUUUCUCAUCUUCCGAACGUCAGCUAUGUUGCUCUUAAUGCAAUGGUACCUUUAUAAAUAUUUGAUGAGACCUGCUUAUGUCCAGAAGCAUAUAAACAGCACUCGGAGUAAAUACACAAAGUUGACUUAGUCUCUACCAGCAGGGAGUAGUAUGGCCCGUGGCAAGUCGUUGUGCAACAUAAACAUGGCAAAGGGGCAAUACCUUCCUCAGGAACACAAAGGGCCAACUCCAACCACGUUAACCUUAAAGACAGGAAUAGGAAAGAGAACUGCAGCUACAUUUCUUCCAUGUGAUGACGUGGCUGUCAAGCCCUCAGCACAGGCUCACAGUCCCUGUAAAUCAAUGGCGCUGUGCUUCCUGUCACUUGUUCUAUGACAUCGGAUGGUUUGGUUCCCUAAAAACAGAACCCAGGGAGCAGAAUAGAAAUGAUUUGUGUGAAGCCCUUGCUUUGGUUUUGCUAACACAGCCACACUCGCCACCUCCCCAACCCUAAUCGGUGAUGCCUGGUCAGUGACAACCGGGACACAGGUGGUGACACGUGUGAUUUGAGGCCUUUGCCACAACUGUGAAAAGGUACCUAUUUUAAGACAGCCAUACUAUCAGUACUUAAUGGAACCCAAUUGUCUUUGAAAAUGAAUGAGGUGUUUGGCUUUUUUUUUCUACGUUGAAUAUUUUAGAAAACACCUUCUCAAACAUAAGGGUCAACCCUUGUGCUCCAUCAAGUUUCCAACUCUGUUUAGUGCUACUCCUCCCCUAGUCCUCUCCUCUCCAAUCAAGUGAGCCAUUCCAUCUUUGGUGCUUUAUCAUGAGCUAAGAAGGAGAGAAAUAAAGAUGGGUAAGAUAUGGCUUAGUGUCGGGAAAACACAACUGAACUUGUACUUCUUUAGUCAUUAGUCAUUAAGCCUUAGAUUCUCAUCAUCCACUAGCAAAGCUCGUUUGGUACAGCUGUCACUGUCUCCUUUAUUUCUAUUGGUGGCUUUUUCUGGCUGUCAUUUCCCUGCCUGACUUCUUUCACAUAUUCAUUGAAAAGUUAGCACGGAUGGGUCUUUAUCCUGGGGCCUGGGAGAUACUUUAGAGAACAAAGAGACCAAAAUCCUUGUCCUAAUGGAGCUUACAUUCUAGCGUGAGAAGACACAACAAAUAGGACAUGAAAAAUAACAUGGCAGACGGUGAUAAAUGCAAUGGAGGAAAAUAAAGCCAGGAAGGGGAUUGAGGCAUUUUAUAUGGGAGGUGGGGAUUGUAAUUUUAAAGCUGUUGAUGGGGGAAAGUCUUGCAAAGAUGUUAUUUGAGCAGGCACUUGAAGGAGAUGCUGAGGAGCCAUGUGGAUGCCUGAGAGAGCCCCUCCAGACAGGGAGAACAGCACAUGCAAAGGCCCUGGGGCAGAAGCAAACAGCACAUCGGUGUGGUAGCUACUGAACUAUAAUGUUUAAUAAAGUUUUCUAUAGUAGGAUGAUUUUAGAUUUACAGAAACAUUGCAAAGAUAGUACAAAAAAUUCCCAUAAACCUUCACCCAGCUUUUGUUGAUGUUAACAUAACCAUGGCAUAUUAGGCAAAACUAAGAAAUUAACAUUGUGACCUGCAAUUUUGAAGCUAAGAAAACUGUGACCAUUAGCGGUGACUUCAUUUGCCCACAGUUAACAACAACAGGUCAAUGAUUAAAUGAGCAUCAUAAUUCAGGUAUCCUAUCAGUUCUGUCUUCUUUCUACCAAAAUCCCAAUGAUUUCCAAACAUUCAUUUUCAAUGCGCUCUUUCCAUAGUCGGGGUUUCUUUGAACAAGCAGUUACUUUAAAAUUUAUCUUUAAAGAAUCACCUUUACUUUGAAGGGGCAGAUAAAACGGAUUUAUUUUACAUUUUAAAAAUCAUCUGUCGGGAUGAUACUGGCAGAUACUCAUCACAGAAAAGGCCCACACGCUGGAACACCUGUCUGUAUCUGUCCACAAGUUCAGGGUCACAAGAUAACCAGUGGAAGUCUACUGUUUACCAGGUUCCAAUUACUUCCCCUUUAGAUUCUAAAGCUAGCUUCUCUUGAUUUGGAGUCAAUCAGCACUGCGGGCCGCACCCCAGACUUUCUGACCCAGAAUCGAUCACUCAGCCAACGCACGUUUAUACAGCAACUAUUACAGGUCAGGUGUUGCCAGCAGCUUUCUGUCCUUCUAACGGAGGAGACUGGCGGAGGACACCAUGACUCCAGGGUGGGGAGGUGAAGGGUACCAACCAGGCCUGGGCAGCGUGAAACUCGAAGCGGAGGGGGUGGGGUGGGGAAGGCUUCCUAGAGAGGAUCUCUUUUGAGCUAGAUAACUUGGAAUUAGCCAGAUGAAAAAGGGGUGAACCAAACACCUCCAACAGAGGGCUCAGGGUGUUCAAAGAAACAAAAGCACCAACGAGGGGGCAUUUCACCUGGGAUGCCUUAGAGCCAACUAUGUGCUUGGAGUGUUGGGCAAUGAGGGGCGAGCUGGGCCACUCAAAGCCUGGUCCUUGGACCUGGAGUGCUGGCAUUGCCCUGAGCUGCUGAGAGCUGCCAGUGUACUGGCCCCACCCUGACACACGGAGUCAGAGGCUCUGGGCCUGAGGAAACCGUGUUUUUAAUAAGCUUGCCCAUUGAUUCUUAUCCACACUGAAGUCUAAGAAUCACUGAGAUAAUCAAGUCAACUGGCCCACAGAAUGCCAAACGCUCCGAAGAAAGUCAACCUGUAGCAAAUUUUAGAAGAUCUCAGAUGUCUUGGCUGGUGCUUUAUGGGCUUAUUUAUUUAUUUAUUUAUUUAUUUAUUUGUUUUGCUUUUUAGGGCCGCAUCUGUGGCAUAUGGAGGUUCCCAAGCUAGGGGUCAAAUGGGAGCUGCAGCUGCCAGCCUAUGCCACAGCUACAGCAAUGUGGGAUCCAAGCUGAGUCUGCAACCAACCCACACCACAGCUCAGGGCAAUGCUGGGUCCUUAAUCCACUGAGCGAGGCCAGGGAUCAAAUCUGAGUCCUCAUGGAUCCUAAUCGGAUUCAUUUCCGCUGUGCCACAAUGGGAAAUCCGGUCUUACUUUUUUAAACCUAACAGCAACCAGGAGGAAUUCGGUUGUAGAAAAUGGAAUCGUUAGAAGAUUUAAAGCCAAACAGGUGACUUCUAACGAGAUGUCUUAAGAGCCAGGCCAUGUUGUGUCUAUAAAUCAAGAUCACAUUUAUUUUUGUGAGGGGAAUGGCCUGUGUUGUCUGCCUGGGUGACCCGCACACCUAAUUAUAGCGGCAUUCACACUGCUGGCGACAGUGGACACGGUCUCCUGCUCAGGAGAUUAUCUUGUGGCUGAAUAGUUUUGAGCCAAUUUAAAUAAAACAAAACCGACUUACCUCAUUCUUUAUUCAUCACUAAUUAAAGACACCCUUCUGCUAGAGGGCAGGCAGGGUCUCUGCUUUCUUUCAAGUUGCAAACAAGCCCCAGAACAAAGAUGUCUCAGGGAUUGUGUCUAGUAAUGACUGUGUAACGUGGAUGCCACUUCACAGGUGUUUAGAAAGAGCACCACUGAAACCAAAAAGAUGGGACCACGGAAGUCUGUGUGUCACUACAUCAUUAGAAAACUGAGCUGCUGGGCCCCCUCCUCCUCUCUCCUCCUCUGAGCCCCUGAUGUCUACAGAACGGGCUGCUGGCAGCUCCCAUUUUACUGAACACCUGAGUAGAAAGCGCAGGAUGACAAUGACAGUCAUGACAGCGGUUACCCUUCCAUCGCCCUCCCCUCAAACCC